rnacentral:lncRNA from 1 species
UUAAUAUUAAACGUAUUUUAUUAACAAUCACCUGUUACCUCAACCCUUAGUUGCCCAGGGGAGCAACUAAGGGGGCCCCAAUUUUUACAGAAAAUCCAUAAAAAUUGAUACCCCAGGAAUAACAAUGAAUCAACAGUUCAUUCAGAAGUCCAUUUUUAGCUCACCUGGCCCAAAGGGCCAAGUGAGCUUUUCUCAGCACUUGGCGUCCGGCGUCCGGCGUCCGGCGUCUGUCGUCCGUCGUCCGUCGUCGUCUGGCGUCGUUAACUUUUACAAAAAUCUUCUCCUCUGAAACUACUGGGCCAAAUUUAACCAAACUUGGCCACAAUCAUC